rnacentral:lncRNA from 1 species
UUCUUUAAGACUCCACCAGGGGGCUCUCACUCUAGGCCCCUGGCGUGACAAAGGAAAAGAGGUUCCUGGAAUCAUUUGAUACUCACGUCAGAAACUCGGGAUGAGAACUUUGUAUGGCCUCAGUUCAUCACUUCUCCAAAAGGGAAGAAAUGUCCCCUGCCAUGUACUCACAGUGUUCCCCAAGAGAAGUGACAGUGUCCCGAGUAACGGGCAUGGAGCACACCUGUCCACAGAGGGUGACCCUCGGAAGGGACAAAUGUGCUUUUCUCUAUGAGACUGUGUGGUUUCUGGUCACACAUGCUGAACGAAUUCUGUUGAAAUCAUGGGAACGUCCAGUUUUAUUUAUGACAGAAUCGAGUUGUGAUUUAUAUUUUAAAAUGUAAUGUUGAACAUCAAUGAGUGUUGCAAGUAGGAACCCCUGUAAAAGCUGGCCUUUUGUGUCUGUGUUCCUGUUUGCAUGACCUGUCCAAAUGAGAUAUUUUUGCUUACCUAAAACACGACAACAUUUGGAAGGUACUGUU